AAGACUAUACUUUCAAGGAUCAUUUCUAUACUGAUUUACUAGAGAAGUUCCUCUGGCUGUGUAGAGUAACAGAAACCAUGAGGAGGAGGCCUCAGUGUUCUCUCCUGAGAAUGAAGCUGGUGCUGGGUGUUGUUUUGUGCAACUGCCCAUUGCCACUGAUGAUUGUUCUUCUCUCCCUUUCGGAGAGUUAGAGGGAGAGAAUGCAGUCUGAGUGGC
ensembl:snoRNA U3 Small nucleolar RNA U3